rnacentral:tRNA from 1 species
GCUGGUGUAGCUCAGUUGGUAGAGCAGCGGUCUUGUAAACCGCAGGUCGCGGGUUCGACUCCCACCACCAGCUCCA